AUUGAACGCUGGCGGCAGGCUUAACACAUGCAAGUCGAGCGGAGAUGAGGUGCUUGCACCUUAUCUUAGCGGCGGACGGGUGAGUAAUGCUUAGGAAUCUGCCUAUUAGUGGGGGACAACAUUCCGAAAGGAAUGCUAAUACCGCAUACGUCCUACGGGAGAAAGCAGGGGAGCUUCGGACCUUGCGCUAAUAGAUGAGCGUAAGUCGGAUUAGCUAGUGGGUGGGGUAAAGGCCUACCAAGGCGACGAUCUGUAGCGGGUCUGAGAGGAUGAUCCGCCACACUGGGACUGAGACACGGCCCAGACUCCUACGGGAGGCAGCAGUGGGGAAUAUUGGACAAUGGGGGGAACCCUGAUCCAGCCAUGCCGCGUGUGUGAAGAAGGCCUUAUGGUUGUAAAGCACUUUAAGCGAGGGGGAGGCUACUGAGACUAAUACUCUUGGAUAGUGGACGUUACUCGCAGAAUAAGCACCGGCUAACUCUGUGCCAGCAGCCGCGGUAA
rnacentral:rRNA from 1 species